UAGCUGCUGAUGUUUUCCACGCCCCAUCACUUUCCUUCCUAGGAUCUGGCUGUUUUCCAAAGCCCUGCUGGACCAGAGCACAGUGCAGCUCUUCCUCAAGGCCUCCGAGGCUCGGAGAGGAGGCCGGGUCCUGACCCUGCGGACCCAAGCCCAGCACACAGUGGCCGCCUGGACAGCCCUGCCCCGUCUUCUGACCCUUGUGGGGGUGCUGAAGCAGAAGGAGGUGCUCAGAGAGGGUACUAUCAAGGUCACUGCCGACUCAGCCGUGCUGGGAUUCCUCUUGCGGGACAAGCACGAGAGGGCAGGGAACAGCACCAGCAUGCGCAGUGUGACCUGCAUCCUUGCCCAGAACAGCAGCCAGGCCUUGCCAGGAGAGCUCCGGCUGAGCGGGCGGCUGCAGGCCCAGACGGGGAGCCUCGGGGGCCAGGCCAGCCUCCGUGCUGACACGGCCAGCCUGGCUCUGGUCGGGGUCUGCACCUGGGGCCCUGGGCAUGGCCAGCUCUCUGGCAGCCUGAGUCACAACAUCAGCGCUUUGAGUGAGGCAGGGCUCUCCUCCGAGGCAGGGAUACUCCUGUCACACACCCACGUCACUUCCAACUUCUCAGUGCGCAUGAUGCUGCGAAGUUCCGGGGGUCAGCUGGAUGGGGCCCUUGGCCUGGAGGGCGUGGCCACCAGUGCACCCGGCAGCCAGCUCCGCGCCAGCCUCCACCACACGGUGCCCGGCCUCGGGCGCUGGGGCCUCCCCUUCUCCGUGGAUGGCCGUGGACACUUGCAGCUGGAGGGACCCAGUCUGGAGGCAGGGUUGGUGGUGAGCGUGGAUGGCGAGGAACUUGGUGGAGCCAAGGAGAGGAGGGGAGCAGGUGACGGUCAGGAGCUGACCCUGGGGCUGCACCCUAGCCUCGUGAGGCUCCAGAAUCCAGCUGUGCUGGCACUGAACAGCUCCUUCCUGGUGCACACCUUUGGGGCCAGCCUGGUGGCUCAGGUAUCGUCUGGGGACACCUUCGCCCGAGCCCACAUCCACUCAGCCUGCGGCCACCGUGCUCAUCUGGACACUGGCCUCCAGCACGCGUGGCCUCCACUUCAGGCACUGGGAGUCCCCCCCAACAACCACAUCCGAGUGUCCGUGGGGGGAGAUGAACCCGCCCGGGCCCAGCUGGAGGUGGCCCUGGGCCUGUGCACCCUGACCGCCCGUGGGGACUUCAGAUCAGAGGCCAGCGUCACACACAACUGGACCCUGGCCCUGGUGAAUCACUGCCCUCUGCUGGAGGCGACAGGAAUCCCGCGGGCCCUGCGCUCCAAGGGCAGCCUAAGCUGGGGCCCCUGCGAGUUCGACCUGACCACGGACUUCCAUAGUGACCGUGGAGAUGCCCACCUGCAGUUGGCCCGUUCCUGCGGGCCCCAGACCUUGGUCCUGGGGCACCUGGCCCACUCCCUGCCCCUCCUGGGCCGACUGGGCCUGCCACCCCGGAGUGCCAUCAGCCUGACCGUCCAGCCUGGCCCUGCCCCCCACAGCUCCCUGUCCCUCCAGAUGGGGCCGUGCCGGCUGCAGGGUGCCCUGGAGCAGCACACUGAGAACCAGAGCACGUGGAUGCUGGCCACCGAGCCGGGCUGCCCGCUGCUGGAGGUGUGUAGAGCGGGCCCACGAGGUGCCUGGAGAGGAGCUUCCCAUCAGCGUGAGGCCUGAGCCUGGCUGACACCCCCUCCAGGGACUUCCCGAGACCAGCUACUAUUUCCCCAAAGCCCUGUUGGACCCUUGACCCCUCUUAUCUCUCAUCCGUGUUCCCAUUUGACAGAUGAGGAGAUCGAGGCUGGGUGAGAUUAGAGGCACGCAGUGCCAUGGAACUUGACCACAGGCUCAGAAUUUAUGAGUCUGUCUUUUUAGUAAAAUUUUAAGAGCAGGAAGGGAAUGAGAGGAACUCUUCUUAUGACAGUUGGAAACAGUUGCAUCUUGGUUUCAUAACCUGUUAAAAACCACAGGCUGGGUUCUAUAUGAGCCGAGAGACAGUCUGAGGAUUGUCCUGUGAUGUUUGGGGGAAGGGGACCCCGUGACUCAGGAAAGGGGGAAGCUGGAGUCUAGGUCAGCAGACAGGGCUGGUGCCCUCGUCUGAGUGGCACAGGCCCCUGCCCUGUGUCUCCUGAUGGAGCUUCCUGAGCGUAGAGACAGGGUCUGGUCCACUCGGCAUCCCUGAGCGUAGGGCUGGGUGCUGGCAGAUGUUCUGUCUCUGUUAAUCAGGGCGACACAGGAUUGGUCCACAAGAGAGCAGAGCAUCAUGGGAUGAAGCAGGCCUACCCACUAGGACUUUCUACGAUGAUGGAGAUGUUCUUUGCUAUCCAGGGCAGUAGCCACUAGCCACAGGGAGCUACUGAAGGCUUAAGACGAUUUUACUCAUGCUCCAGAGAAACUGAAUUCUUACUUGGGCUUCAUUUUAAUUUAGAUGGAACCAGCCCCAUGUGGUUAGUGACUGUCCUAGUGGACAGCAGAGAGGUGAAGCACAGACUGAAAACAGAUCAGGUUCAAACCUUAGCUCCUCUACUUAUUAGCUAUGUGAUUCUGGGCAAUGACUUCGCCUUGUUGAGCCUCGGUGUUCCCAUCUGUAAAAUGGGGACUAGUAACUACCAAUCUCAGAGUCGUUGGAAUAGCGUGAAAAGAGAACAUUCUGAUGAAGCACUCGGCAUGAGACUGU
rnacentral:lncRNA from 1 species